AAUAUUCCUGAUCUUGUCCUUUUAUCUGGUGUCCCAUGACACAAAGAAUGAUCUCUUUCUGGAAGCUGUGUUGCAGUGUGUGAAUAUAUUAGAUAUGCUGGUUAAGCUAUUUCUCCUCUUUCCCCAGCUCAAUAGCCCUCAUUCCUAUUGUUAAAGCAGUUUAAAAGCUGCUUUAAAGAACAACAACACCAAGUAAAACCUUCAGGACUGCAAGUAUCUUACUCUCGGAAUACCCAAGUAAGCUAAACACUGCCAUAAAACAAAAAAUGAGCAAGAAGGUGAUUAAGAACAGGAGCUUUGUUCUGUCAGCAUUGGCUGGUGAAGCAAUGUGUGCGUCCCCAGAACACGAAAUGCCACAUCAUCAUCUCCUACUCAGUCUCCUCCUAACUCCAGCACAGCUGGGUCAUUUUGUCUCAAUUUCCUUCAAUAAUGAGAUCCACAAUUACGAAAUGAAGGUUCAGAAUAAAAUACCAUCUCAAGUGAUUGCAGUCUCUAAUGAGACAGAACUGCUGUCCUCUUCACGGCUCCUUGCAGCUGAUUCAACAAGUAAUUACGUAUGACGGCAACGUUGGAGAAAAAGGCAGUUUGAAAUGCUGCAAUUCUUCUCUCACCACGUCGGAGUUAUUCAUGGUUAAAAAAAUACUCUUUUAAUCAGAUUGGUGUUAUUGAAAUCUAGAGAUCAGUGGGUUUGGUUAACAUGUAAUGCCUCUGGGGGCCACAUUCUGCCCUCAAAUAGAAGCAAUCCCACGAGCUGUGUGCUGAUACGCAGAUGAAAAUUUUAACCUUUCAGACAAAAAAAAUCCUCCUCCUUCUCCUCCUGGCUUCCCUCAAGAAUCCACUUAAUCAUAUUUUGAAAUCUAAUAGGUUUUAGGAGUGAUAACAGUAGUCUGGGCUGCAGCAAUAGAAAGAAACGGAUUGUUCUAACCUUUAACAAGAGCGAAUGCAAAGAGCGAUUAAUUUGUGAGGCUUUCUGGGGUUAGAGAUGAAAUCCCAGCUCCCUUGAAGUCUAUCGUUUCAGCUCCUAUGGAGAUUGCACAGCAAGGAUCACAAUCCAGCUCCUGUUUUAUUCCUACAAUAAGCAACCUGAAGUUUCGCUAUCACCAAAUAAGCUGU
ensembl:lncRNA